rnacentral:lncRNA from 1 species
CCGCAGAGCGCAGAGGCGGUCGCACGCGGUGCCGGCGGCUCUCGGAGGCAGGACGCGGCUGCUGCAGCUGGCAUCUGUGACUCGGCCUUCUCCACGGCAUUCUCCCGCCUGGCGGGUGCCCACCCCCGGCUGCCCGGGCCCCGCGGACUUGGAAACCUGAGGCCGAGAGAGGAUCUGCCUUUAGCGAGUUCCUGGACUGGCAGAGGGGUUUUCCCGGCGCAAUCUGUGGGUUCACGAGGGCGAUGCGCAGGGAUGAAAAGAGAAAAGGUGCGUCCAGGACCGGUGCUCUGCCAGCGCAAGGAGGCGGAGCGCGUUCAUGGGGUCCUCCCGGCGCCUGGCUUAUGCCUGCGGCGCGCCCACCCCUGGGGACCGCGAGGCAGCCGCUUGGGGACCCCAGGCGAGAUUCCCCGCCAUCUCUGCGGUGGAGAGGCUGGGGGUUGGCGGCGCUUUGGCCUUGAAUGGACAGUGGGGAAAGGGAUGGGGGCUCCCUAACGUGGAUUACUUGGCGCUUAUCAGCUGGGCUCAGAAGACCCAGGACUCCUCUUCAUUAGUGGAUUGAUUCCUUCUACCUAACAAUCGGUCGCUAAGCUGGAGGUAAGUUUCCUUUCAGUUUGGGGAAGGGGAUUUGAUUU